GCGAGUUACGAUUUGAUGCAAGGUUAAGCAGUAAAUGUGGAGCCGUAGCGAAAGCGAGUCUGAAUAGGGCGUUUAGUAUUUGGUCGUAGACCCGAAACCAGGUGAUCUACCCUUGGUCAGGUUGAAGUUCAGGUAACACUGAAUGGAGGACCGAACCGACUUACGUUGAAAAGUGAGCGGAUGAACUGAGGGUAGCGGAGAAAUUCCAAUCGAACCUGGAGAUAGCUGGUUCUCUCCGAAAUAGCUUUAGGGCUAGCCUCAAGUGAUGAUUAUUGGAGGUAGAGCACUGUUUGGACGAGGGGCCCCUCUCGGGUUACCGAAUUCAGACAAACUCCGAAUGCCAAUUAAUUUAACUUGGGAGUCAGAACAUGGGUGAUAAGGUCCGUGUUCGAAAGGGAAACAGCCCAGACCACCAGCUAAGGUCCCAAAAUAUAUGUUAAGUGGAAAAGGAUGUGGCGUUGCCCAGACAACUAGGAUGUUGGCUUAGAAGCAGCCAUCAUUUAAAGAGUGCGUAAUAGCUCACUAGUCGAGUGACACUGCGCCGAAAAUGUACCGGGGCUAAACAUAUUACCGAAGCUGUGGAUUGUCCUUUGGACAAUGGUAGGAGAGCGUUCUAAGGGCGUUGAAGCAUGAUCGUAAGGACAUGUGGAGCGCUUAGAAGUGAGAAUGCCGGUGUGAGUAGCGAAAGACGGGUGAGAAUCCCGUCCACCGAUUGACUAAGGUUUCCAGAGGAAGGCUCGUCCGCUCUGGGUUAGUCGGGUCCUAAGCUGAGGCCGACAGGCGUAGGCGAUGGAUAACAGGUUGAUAUUCCUGUACCACCUAUAAUCGUUUUAAUCGAUGGGGGGACGCAGUAGGAUAGGCGAAGCGUGCGAUUGGAUUGCACGUCUAAGCAGUAAGGCUGAGUAUUAGGCAAAUCCGGUACUCGUUAAGGCUGA
rnacentral:rRNA from 1 species